rnacentral:ncRNA from 1 species
UUUAAUAGGUAAACCUAAGGAAACUUAGGGACACAAAGCUAUAGGGACUAAGGUUUUCUUAACUAUGUCAGCCAGUUGCCAA